rnacentral:rRNA from 1 species
GACGAACGCUGGCGGCGUGCCUAACACAUGCAAGUCGAGCGAGAAAGGGGGCUUCGGCCCCUGAGUACAGCGGCGAACGGGUGCGUAAUACAUGAGCAAUCUACCCUUGAGGCGGGAAUAACCCAGCGAAAGUUGGGCUAAUACCGGAUAAGACCACAAGAGGAGACCCUUGAGGCUAAAGGCAGCUCUCUUUUGGGGGCGGCCCUUUGAGGAGGAGCUCAUGUCCUAUCAGCUAGUUGGUAGGGUAACGGCCUACCAAGGCGAAGACGGGUAGCUGGUCUUAGAGGAUGAUCAGCCACACGGGGACUGAGACACGGCCCCGACUCCUACGGGAGGCAGCAGUGGGGAAUAUUGGGCAAUGGGGGAAACCCUGACCCAGCGACGCCGCGUGGGUGAUGAAGGCCU